GAACUUCACAACACUGUUUAUUUUCAACACUUCGAUACUUGUCAGGAAAAUUGUUGGAAUCGACUUCCGGCGAGGUGGUCAGCUCCAACCAGGAGGGGAGGUGACUCCAUCAUCUGAGGCGCGGCUCUGUUCCUCGUCCCGAGGAACCAAUUUCAAGGGUAACCAGCCACAUCCGCCACAACCUCCAUGUUUGAUUUGGUCAAACUGGAAGGCUCGAAACACUGCGCCACGUCUUUUCCCAGUGUCCCUGAUUCAAGAAGAUCAUCAUAAUCAACUGGUGUUUCCUGGUGCUAGGCCAGGAAAAUGAUCAAUGCUUUGCAAUCUGGCCAUUCCAUACACGAUCAUCAGGGGCACAGGAAGGUGGCGCGGCAUCAAUCGAAUGGCGGAGAGGAUGAAGAGCGAUAUGUUGCGCCUGCAGGACACUCCACGACAAGGAGCAUCGGACGAUGAAGCGCAAAUGCGAGCAGUCUCAGUCCACCAACAGACUGCGAUCCGGCGAUUUUAGUCUCUUUCUGGUGGACGUCUGGAGCACAGUCUGAAGCCCCCAAUGGAGCAAUCGGGCAGCGAAGGUCUGCCUCAACAACCGGGACAACCGCCUCCGCUGCCUUACUAAAAUCAGCAAGAAGACGCACUCAAAGCCCUAGUCCAGCAGGAGCCCUCCAGAAGGAGUAGCGGAUGCAGUCCGACCUCGAGAAGGAAGCGGAGAGCAGCGACAAGAACGGUUCAAUAGAAAUACUGGAAGUACUACCGGAAAAGGAGAUUCAAAUGCCGCGGGAAUCUGAUAAACGACCAACUUAACAUCCAUCUUGACCGAUCUCGAAAGGAACUUCUUCCUGUUGAACCCACUCAACGUGGCCGCAGGCCACUCAGCAUGGACUGAUGGACUGAUGGUAGGAGUUUGGUCCGAAUCCAAAGCGUUUACCACGUUCUAGGCCUGGGGACAGAAGACACGUGUUGAUUCUGAUGGUUUUCAUGGAUCAGUCCUCGCUGGAAGAAGUACUGGCGCAGCGUUCCGAUCCAGCCAGACUGAACAUAUUGAACAUGGGGGGGCUGCGCGUUUAUGGCUCCGGCACUUAAAUACGUAUGUGUACAUAUGUACAUAUGUCUUGACAAUUAAGUUGGUCAAAUGCAAGUGGCUUAAACGGAUUAAACGAUUUCCCCAAGUAGAAAUAAUUUUUUUGAUAAAUGCAAUUUUUAAGGAAACUA